AGAGGCAGGCAGAUUUCUGAUU
rnacentral:ncRNA from 2 species